UACAUAGUGGUGUUUUCUGCUAUUGCAUUCAAAUCUGUCUUCAAUAAUCACUCAUAAUGAGGAAUUGUGGGAAGCAGUAGUAAAUGGCAGAAAAAUUAGCCAAUAUGGAUAUCGAAUGCUGUGUACUUCUUCAUUUUGUAUUGUAGUAAGCACAGUGAGGGCUGCUAAAUUAUAGUUUUCAAAUUAUUAAAAAAUCCUGAUCAGUUUACCCUUUUAAUUUAUAGAAAUGACUAUUCUAAACACAGAAGCACUUUACAAAAAAAAUAGUGUUUUAGCGAUCAUUCACAGUUAUUUCAGUAAAUAAAAGGUUCAACAUCCCCUUCUCUAUUGUAUAUUUCCUGACAGCAGGAUAGUCUUUUACAUUCCUCAACCAUAUUUUUGAAAUACGUUAUUCAACAUGCAGCUUAUAUAUUAGAAUUUUUCAAAUAAUAUCCAAAAUUACUUCAACAAUUUUAAAGCAUUAAAAUAAAAUGCAUUUUCUGGAGAAAUAUGUGUGGUUUGACUUUGGGCAUCUAGGGAUACUGGGACUCUGCUAACUGCUGAGAUGAGUAAGCCUUGCACCUGUGCCCAGCCAUAAAAUAACUGGUUCCCUUUGAUUUGCAUGCACUUUGGGGACUUCUUCAUAUACCAGUUACACCCUGUGCAGUUGCCAUUGCAGUCAAGUCUUAACAUGGACAUACGGGCCCCUGUUCAGUUCCUUGGGAUCCUGCUACUCUGGCUUCUUGGUGCCCGAUGUGACAUCAAGAUGACCCAGUCUCCCUCCUCCCUGUCUGCAUCUCUGGGAGAAAGAGUCACCAUCAGUUGCAGGGCAAGUGAGAAUAUUAACAAUUAUUUGGCCUGGUAUCAGAAGAAAGAAGAUGGAAGUGUUAAACUCCUGAUUUACUACACAUCAAAUCUACAAUCUGGGGUCCCAUCAAGGUUCAGUGGCAGUGGGUCUGGGAAAGAUUACUCUCUCACCAUUAGUGGCCUGGAAUCUGAAGAUAUUGCGACUUACUAUUGUCAGCAAGGUUAUACCCCACCCAUGUUCACUUUCUGGGAGCCCUCAAAGCUCAGGAUAGUUGACUCUUUGUUUUCCUAA